GACGAACGCUGGCGGCGUGCCUAAUACAUGCCAGUAGAACGCACAGUUUAUACCGUAGCUUGCUACACCAUAGACUGUGAGUUGCGAACGGGUGAGUAACGCGUAGGUAACCUGCCUGGUAGCGGGGGAUAACUAUUGGAAACGAUAGCUAAUACCGCAUAAUAUUGAUUAUUGCAUGAUAAUUGAUUGAAAGAUGCUAUUGCAUCACUACCAGAUGGACCUGCGUUGUAUUAGCUAGUAGGUGAGGUAACGGCUCACCUAGGCGACGAUACAUAGCCGACCUGAGAGGGUGAUCGGCCACACUGGGACUGAGACACGGCCCAGACUCCUACGGGAGGCAGCAGUAGGGAAUCUUCGGCAAUGGACGAAAGUCUGACCGAGCAACGCCGCGGGAGUGAAGAAGGUUUUCGGAUCGUAAAGCUCUGUUGUAAGAGAAGAACGGGUGUGAGAGUGGAAAGUUCACACUGUGACGGUAUCUUACCAGAAAGGGACGGCUAACUACGUG
rnacentral:rRNA from 1 species